CUGGCGGCGUGCUUCAUACAUAGCAAGUCGAACGAUAAGGUCUCUUCGGAGAUACAUAAGUGGCGGACGGGUGAGUAAUAUGUAGAGAAUCUGCCCUAGAGAGUGGGACAACAGUUGGAAACGACUGCUAAUACCGCAUAUGAGCAUAGUUGAGAUACUAUUCUUGAAAACUCCGGUGCUCUAGGAUGAGUCUGCAUCUGAUUAGCUAGUUGGGGGUGUAAUGGACCACCAAGGCGACGAUCAGUAGCUGGUUUGAGAGGAUGAUCAGCCACAAUGGGACUGAGACACGGCCCAUACUCCUACGGGAGGUAGCAGUAGGGAAUUUUGCGCAAUGGGGGAAACCCUGACGCAGCAACGCCGCGUGACCGAUGAAGCCCUUCGGGGUGUAAAGGUCUGUCAGUGGGGACGAAUAAUGACGGUACCCACAGAGGAAGCAUCGGCUAACUCCGUGCCAGCAGCCGC
rnacentral:rRNA from 1 species